GUCUUUGCAAAAGAACCCGCCAGAGCCUAUAUUUAAGGGGUCGGGUAACCGACUAUGACGAUAAACGUUUUGCGGAAUAAGCGUAACGGACCCGGGGGCAGUACCCGGCGCCUCCACCAGUUAGCCCCGGCCGGGCUUUGUAAGAUUUUCUUUUGAAAAAGCCCGGCCGGGCAUUUAUGGGGGCGAUAUAGGAUCGACGGGCGUAGUAAAGGCAUAAUUUUCGUUCGGCAUGAUACCCACCGUAUCGGGGUCACUUUUACAAAUGCAAACGAUAAUGAUGCAUUUGCGGUUGCAGCCUAACGGCUAAUGUAACCACGGGGUUCGGGGGGCACCUGGCAACAGAAGCCCCCCACU
rnacentral:tmRNA from 1 species